rnacentral:rRNA from 1 species
GCGACCCCAGGUCAGGCGGGACUACCCGCUGAAUUUAAGCAUAUAAAUAAA